rnacentral:rRNA from 1 species
GACGAACGCUGGCGGCGUGCCUAACACAUGCAAGUCGAGCGAGGAGAGUUCCUUCGGGAACAAACCUAGCGGCGGACGGGUGAGUAACACGUGGGCAACCUGCCUUGUAGAGGGGAAUAGCCUUCCGAAAGGAAGAUUAAUACCGCAUAACAUUACAGUUUCGCAUGAAACAGUAAUUAAAGGAGUAAUCCGCUACAAGAUGGGCCCGCGGCGCAUUAGCUAGCUGGUGAGGUAACGGCUCACCAAGGCGACGAUGCGUAGCCGACCUGAGAGGGUGAUCGGCCACAUUGGGACUGAGACACGGCCCAGACUCCUACGGGAGGCAGCAGUGGGGAAUAUUGCACAAUGGGGGAAACCCUAAUGCAGCAACGCCGCGUGAGUGAUGAAGGUUUUCGGAUCGUAAAGCUCUGUCUUCGGGGACGAUAAUGACGGUACCCGAGGAGGAAGCCACGGCUAACUACGUG